UUCUAUGGUGGGCGGUGCGCGGAGGCUGCAAGGCCUGCCGGUUAUCGCUCUUUUCCUAUCCGGUUUUGAUAGCCGCGUACCGUCCACCACCUU
rnacentral:antisense_RNA from 20 species